GAUGAACGCUGGCGGCGUGCCUAAUACAUGCAAGUCGAGCGAACGGACGAGAAGCUUGCUUUUCUGAUGUUAGCGGCGGACGGGUGAGUAACACGUGGAUAACCUACCUAUAAGACUGGGAUAACUUCGGGAAACCGGAGCUAAUACCGGAUAAUAUUUUGAACCGCAUGGUUCAAAAGUGAAAGACGGUCUUGCUGUCACUUAUAGAUGGAUCCGCCCUGCAUUAGCUAGUUGGUAAGGUAACGGCUUACCAAGGCAACAAUGCAUAGCCGACCUGAGAGGGUGGUCUGACACACUGGAACUGAAGCACGGUCCUGACUCCUACGAGAGUCAGCAUUAGGAAAUCUUGCGCAAUGAGCGAGAGCCUGACAGUGCAACGCCGCAUGAGUGAUGAAGGUCUUCGGAUCGUGAAACUCUGUUAUUAGGGAAGAACAAAUGUGUAAGUAACUGUGACCAUCUUGACGGUACCUAAUCAGAAAACCACGGCUAACAACGUG
rnacentral:rRNA from 1 species